AAGGAGUCUAACAACUAUGCGAGUAUUUGAGUGGCAAACUCGAGUGCGUAAAGAAACUGAACGCGUGGGAUUUGUUCUCUUACGGGAGGGCAAUGCACCAUGGGCCAGUCCUUGUCUUUGACUUGGAUUGCGCUAGAGCACAUCUGUUGGGACCCGAAAGAUGGUGAACUAUGCCUGAAUAGGGUGAAGCCAGAGGAAACUCUGGUGGAGGCUCGUAGCGGUACUGACGUGCAAAUCGUUCGUCAAAUUUGGGUAUAGGGGCGAAAGACUAAUCGAACCAUCUAGUAGCUGGUUCCCUC
rnacentral:misc_RNA from 1 species